CACCGGCAGCCCGAGUGGUGGCCACUAUUAUUGGGCCUAAAGCGUCCGUAGCCGGUCCGGUAAGUCCCUGUGGAAAUCCUCAGGCUCAACCUGAGGAAAUGCGGGGAUACUGCCGGACUCGGGGCCGGGAGACGCGGAGGGUACUCCAGGGGUAGCGGUGAAAUGCUGUAAUCCCUGGGGGACCACCAGUGGCGAAGGCGCUCCGCGAGAACGGGCCCGACGGUGAGGGACGAAAGCCAGGGGAGCGAACGGGAUUAGAAACCCCAGUAGUCC
rnacentral:rRNA from 1 species